GUUCUUGUUGCAUUCCCACGCUCUAGAGGUCGCGGCGAGCCUCUUCGAAUCGUCGUUCUGUAGCCAUGCUCGAUCGCUCGCAGGCCCGAUUUGCAGGUAGUAAUCCUGUGGCUUCGCAUUUCUAGUGUUGGGUAUAUGAAUACCGAUUGUGGGUAAGACAAACAUGAAAGAAAUGGGUUGGAUUUAGGGUUUAGGGCUGAGCUAGUGAAAUCGCUACGAUCCAUGAACGUGCUGGAUCAGAUUGUGGGGCGAGUGCAGUCUUUGUGUGUGUAUGUGUGCGAGUAGGAACGAUGUCUCGUGUCUCAGCAGUUUACUUGAGCAAGCGGAUAAAGUUUUUGCACGCUUGCGCUCUUCGUCUCCGUCAUUCCUUGUUCGUUUCCCUCGUCUCGUGUCUUUAUUUUGCUAGCUUCUGUUGUUAAUGGCGUCAGUUUGGUGAAUAGGGUUCGCGGGUCUGAACCUAGUUGGACGAGUCUGGACAUUGCUGAUUGGAUAAAGAUGUGAUUGAAGGAAUAUACAGCGAGGCUUCAUGAUGUGGAACAUUCAGCUGGGAGCAGUUCGAACUCUUCACUCCUUUGCUUCGAAGCCGCGGAUGGUCACAGUUUCACUUUUAACAACUUUUGCCGGAGAUUAAAGGAGCAAUCAAUAUUCUUCAAGGAACCUAUGCGCGUCAUUCUGCCCGUGAAUACUUGACUACCAUUCACGCAUACUCUCUGCAGAUGUGAUGUUUGUCCAAAUGCUAUGACUCCUGUCGUAUUGUCUAUGAGGACUGCAUGUUUGAAACUGAUACAAAAACAAAAAAAAACAAAACGAAAAACGAGCUGCACUCAAUCCUGGGACUCCCUUCUGCAUUGCUACCGUGGGGGAAUGAUCUACAUUGGUUUGAAAAUUCUCUGCAAGGCGUAGGAACUCUUCCAACACGAAUUGCGUCUCUAUUCCCAAAUCAGAGUAACCUAUCUAUUAGAAAAGCAUUAUCAAGUGCUUAGUUCGUCUUUGAGAAGAAUAGAAUCAUUCACCUUUUGAUACUCAUUGGUAUCAGUUUGUUGCUGAGACUGCUAUAGCUCCCACGACAGCCCUGAGUGCUAUUCACUAUUGCAGCUUUCAGGAAGAUGGGCGUGUUUCACUAAUACAAAAUGGUAAGUCUGAGAGCAGUCUGAAACUUGGUCGUUCUAAUUUGAAAAGAAAUAGUUCGUAUGAGGAUAGUGGAUUAACUGUGUUCAAUGAUGUCUAAUGAGUCUUCGUCCACCUGAUAUCGUACAGGUCCCUCCUCAUCCGUAGUGUAUCCUGCAGUUGUACUAAGAAACCCAAAAUCAUGUCUUUGAUUAUGUCCCAUAUUUUUUGUGGAAUUUAUUAUGUUUCUAAACUUCCAGGUCUUGCCUUUGUUUA